rnacentral:rRNA from 1 species
GACGAACGCUGGCGGCGUGCUUAACACAUGCAAGUCGAACGGAAAGGCCCUGCUUGCAGGGUACUCGAGUGGCGAACGGGUGAGUAACACGUGGGUGAUCUGCCCUGCACUUCGGGAUAAGCCUGGGAAACUGGGUCUAAUACCGGAUAUGACCUUCCAUGUAGUGUGGGGGGUGGAAAGAUUUAUCGGUGUGGGAUGAGCCCGCGGCCUAUCAGCUUGUUGGUGGGGUAAUGGCCUACCAAGGCGUAGACGGGUAGCCGGCCUGAGAGGGUGGACGGCCACAUUGGGACUGAGAUACGGCCCAGACUCCUACGGGAGGCAGCAGUGGGGAAUAUUGCACAAUGGGCGGAAGCCUUAUGCAGCGACGCCGCGUGGGGGAUGACGGCCUUCGGGUUGUAAACCUCUUUCGACAGGGACGAAGCUUCGGUGACGGUACCUGUAUAAGAAGCACCGGCUAACUACGUG